AUACGGAGGGUGCAAGCGUUAAUCGGAAUUACAGGGCGUAAAGCGCUCGUAGGCGGCUUGUUAAGUCGGAUGUGAAAGCCCCGGGCUCAACCUGGGAACUGCAUUCGAUACUGGCAGGCUAGAGUAUAGUAGAGGCAAGUGGAAUUCCGGGUGUAGCGGUGAAAUGCGUAGAUAUCCGGAGGAACAUCAGUGGCGAAGGCGACUUGCUGGACUAAUACUGACGCUGAGGAGCGAAAGCGUGGGGAGCAAACGGGAUUAGAAACCCCAGUAGUCC
rnacentral:rRNA from 1 species